rnacentral:rRNA from 1 species
CCUACGGGAGGCUGCAGUAGGGAAUAUUGCUCAAUGGGGGAAACCCUGAAGCAGCAACGCCGCGUGGAGGAUGAAGGUUUUAGGAUUGUAAACUCCUUUUGUCAGAGAAGAUUAUGACGGUAUCUAACGAAUAAGCACCGGCUAACUCCGCGCCAGCAGCCGCGGUAAUACGGAGGAUGCGAGGGUAAUCCGGAUUCAUUGGGUUUAAGGGGUGCGUGGGCGGACGCUUAGGUCAGCGGUAAACUUGAGGGCCUAAACCUCGUCGAGCCGUUGAAACUGGGUGUCUUGAGUGGGCGAGAGGUACGCGGAAUGCGUGGUGUAGCGGUGAAAUGCGUAGAUAUCACGAAGAACACCAGUGGCGAAGGCGGCGUACCGGCGCGCAACUGACGCUGAAGCACGAAGGCGUGGGGAGCGAACAGGAUUAGAUACCCCGGUAGUC